GGCCUACGGGGGGCAGCAGUGAGGAAUAUUGGUCAAUGGCCGGGAGGCUGAACCAGCCAAGUCGCGUGAGGGAAGACGGCCCUACGGGUUGUAAACCUCUUUUGUCGGGGAGCAAAGAGAGUCACGUGUGACUCAUUGAGAGUACCCGAAGAAAAAGCAUCGACUAACUCCGUGCCAGCAGCCGCGGUAAUACGGAGGAUGCGAGCGUUAUCCGGAUUUAUUGGGUUUAAAGGGUGCGCAGGCGGAGGUGCAAGUCAGCGGUCAAAUUGCGGGGCUCAACCCCGGACUGCCGUUGAAACUGCAUC
rnacentral:rRNA from 1 species